AUGCUUAAUCGUGAUAACAAAAUUUUGAUACUCUCUCUUCCCUAUUCACGCUUCUUUACCUCUCUCAAUCCAUUCCUCUAUGAUCAAAAUCACUCCCCUGUUCAUCUUCUUCUCUUGCUCUCACACUUCAUUACCAUCAUCAUCGAUUCCUCUCUCUCACGCUCUUAUCUCCGAUUCUCUCACGUUUCUGCUAUUUUUCUCUUCAAACAAAACCAUCCUAUCACAAAUCAAUAA